UACAGAGGUCCCAAGCGUUGUUCGGAUUUAUUGGGCGUAAAGGGUGCGUAGGCGGUCAAGCAAGUCGGAUGUGAAAUACCGGAGCCUAACUCCGGAAUGGCAUUCGAAACUGCUUGGCCCGAGGUCUGGAGAGGUGACUGGAAUUCUUGGUGUAGCAGUGAAAUGCGUAGAUAUCAAGAGGAACACCAGAGGCGAAGGCGAGUCACUGGACAGAACCUGACGCUGAGGCACGAAAGCCAGGGGAGCAAACGGG
rnacentral:rRNA from 1 species